rnacentral:rRNA from 1 species
GACGAACGCUGGCGGCGUGCUUAACACAUGCAAGUCGAACGGAAAGGCCCUGCUUUUGUGGGGUGCUCGAGUGGCGAACGGGUGAGUAACACGUGAGUAACCUGCCCUUGACUUUGGGAUAACUUCAGGAAACUGGGGCUAAUACCGGAUAGGAGCUCCUGCUGCAUGGUGGGGGUUGGAAAGUUUCGGCGGUUGGGGAUGGACUCGCGGCUUAUCAGCUUGUUGGUGGGGUAGUGGCUUACCAAGGCUUUGACGGGUAGCCGGCCUGAGAGGGUGACCGGCCACAUUGGGACUGAGAUACGGCCCAGACUCCUACGGGAGGCAGCAGGGGGGAAUAUUGCACAAUGGGCGGAAGCCUGAUGCAGCAACGCCGCGUGCGGGAUGACGGCCUUCGGGGUGUAAACCGCUUUCGCCUGUGACGAAGCGUGAGUGACGGGAAUGGGUAAAGAAGCACCGGCUAAAUACGUG